rnacentral:piRNA from 1 species
UGGUUAUGUGCAAUUCUGCUCUGAUA